GAUUGAACGAGCAACCUUGUAAAGUGAGUAUAAUUUUGAUCAGAUAAAAAUGAAAUUAUAAAUGAAAUUAUAAAGCUUGUAUAAUAAAUAAAAUAAUGAUAUGAUUUAUUAUAAUAGUCUUGACCAAUAUAUGUGCCAGCAGUAGCGGUUAAACAUUGGAGGCUAGCAAUGUACAUUAAGGCUUAAAGUGUUUGUAGCACGGUUAUUUAAAUAAAUUUUAAUAAACUAGAAUUACACAGAAUGAUUAAAGAAUUAUUAGAGUAAUGAUUAAAUAUUAUGAUACUAGUAGGACUGCUAAAGGUGAAGACAUUAAUCAAUAGUGUAAUUGACGUUGAGAAACGAAGGCUAGAGUAGCAAAAAGGAUUAGAGACCCUCCUAGUUUUAGCUGUAAACGAUAAAUGUUAAGAGUUAUCCAUAUUGGAUAAAUUCUAAAGUGAAAACGUUAAACAUUUCGCCAAAGGAGUACGUAUGCAAAUAUGAAACUUAAAACAAUAGGCGGUUUAAGGUACAAGCAGUGGAUCAUGUUAUUUAAUUCGAUAAUCCCCGACUAACCUUACCAAACUUUGAAUAAACCUUAUAUUAAGGAUAUCAACUUCGGUUGAUUAUUUACAGACGCUACAUAGUUGUCUUCAAUUCGUGCCGUAAGGUGUUAGAUUAAGUUCAUUAACGAAUAAAACCCUAAUUGCUUAAUUUUAAAUAAGCAAGAGUAAUUAUAUACUAAUUACGUAGUUAGGAUUAAGACAAAUCAUUAUGGCUCUGAUAG
rnacentral:rRNA from 1 species